rnacentral:tRNA from 1 species
GUUAUUUUAGUUUAAUAAAAACCUUACAUUUUCAGUGUAAAAAUAAAUGAAAAUUUAAAUAAUU